GACGACGCUGGCGGCGUGCCUAAUACCUGCAAGUAGGACGAGUUGCGAACGGGUGAGUAAUGUCUUGGAAACUGCCUGAUGGAGGUGGAUAACUACUGGAAACGUUAGCUAAUACCUCAUACCAUCAGAUGUGCCCCGAUGGGCUUAGCUAGUAGGUGGGGUAAUGGCUCACCUAGGCGACGAUCCCUAGCUGGUCUGAGAGGAUGACGAGACACACUGGAACUGAGACACGGUCCAGACUCCGACGGGAGGCAGCAGUGGGGAAUAUUGCACAAUGGGCGCAAGCCGGAUGCAGCCAUGCCGCGUGUGUGAAGAAGGCCUUCGGGUUGUAAAGCACUUGCAGCGAGGAGGCGUUACUCGCAGAAGAAGCACCGGCUAAUUCCGUGCCAGCAGCCGCGGUAAUAC
rnacentral:rRNA from 1 species